rnacentral:rRNA from 1 species
GAUGAACGCUGGCGGCGUGCCUAAUACAUGCAAGUCGAGCGAACGGACGAGAAUCUUGCUUCUCUGAUGUUAGCGGCGGACGGGUGAGUAACACGUGGAUAACCUACCUAUAAGACUGGGAUAACUUCGGGAAACCGGAGCUAAUACCGGAUAAUAUUUUGAACCGCAUGGUUCAAAAGUGAAUGACGGUCUUGCUGUCACUUAUAGAUGGAUCCGCGCUGCAUUAGCUAGUUGGUAAGGUAACGGCUUACCAAGGAAACGAUGCAUAGCCGACCUGAGAGGGUGAUCGGCCACACUGGAACUGAGACACGGUCCAGACUCCUACGGGAGGCAGCAGUAGGGAAUCUUCCGCAAUGGGCGAAAGCCUGACGGAGCAACGCCGCGUGAGUGAUGAAGGUCUUCGGAUCGUAAAACUCUGUUAUUAGGGAAGAACAUAUGUGUAAGUAACUGUGCACAUCUUGACGGUACCUAAUCAGAAAGCCACGGCUAACUACGUG